rnacentral:tRNA from 1 species
CGUUCUAUGGCCAAAUUGGUAAAGGCUUUGCUUAUGACAGGCGGCGAAGCGGGUUCGAGUCCCGCUGGAACAG